UAUCUCUUCCCUCUUCUCUCAAAUUCAUUUUAUAUUUCUCUUUUUCGUAGACAAAAAAAAUAAAGGAUGUUUAAUGAGAAAGGAAAAAUUGUCAUUCUUGCACUAGCAUUUUUCUUUAGUAUAGUUAUGGUUUGUUUUUGCUUCAUUUUGGUGAUGCAUUUCGUAAAUGAAUUGUCAGCUUUUACAAAUAGAUCAACAAUAAAAAAUCAAGAUGUGUUGUGGGCAGGAUUUGGCAUUUCUCUAUUUGUAAUAUUUGCUUUUGCUUUUGUUGUAUUUGCUGUAUUUUCUGGUUGUGGUAUGCUUUUUAUUCUCCAUAGUAUCUCUAAGAUUGCACCUGCACCUUUGGAAGGAGAGUAGUAGAAGCCACAUCCAUAUGCUUUAACAUUCAGAUAUUAAUUUCAUCAAAGUAUAGUCCAAGAGCCAGCAAAAAAAGUGUGUAAGGUGCCAUCCUAGCUUGUACAAAGUUUAUUUUUUUACUGAGUUGUUGUAUUAAUCUAACAACUGGGACCAUUAUUUAUGUCCGUGUUGAGAUUAUUUAGUUGCAUCGAUAACUUUUUCUUUUAUUUUGUGACAAAGUUACAUCGAUAACUAUAAAUUGCCAUUUUUUUACAAAAACAAAUAAUCACUCUUAUUGUUGUCAACUCUAGUAUAAUUCUUGAGGGCAAUAUUUUCCUUAUCAUGAAGAUGUAAUGAAAUUUCAAUUGAGAAAAAAAAAACAAGAAUUUUGAAAAAGCCUCCAUGAAAAGUCACAUGUGGAUGUUUCAAUUUGCUUGAUGCUACUCCAACAAUGAUCACCCUUGUAAAAAGGUGCAUACGGGCAAUUGAGGAUUCUAUAAUUUUGAAAUGUCUAUUUGUUCUCUCUCAUCAUUAUCUCUUAUUUUAUCUAAUUUUUUUCUUUCUAAAAUCAUUAUAUUUUAUGCGAUCAAAAGAUAGAGAAUUUGAAUUAUAAAAAAAGUAUCGUACAAAAACUUCAAACUCCAUCAGUGUAUAUGGUAUUAUCCACAUGAUUCCAUCUUAGUUAAGUCGUAUCAACCACUUAUAAUCUACUACUUGGUUAGAAACUAGUAAUAUUGAAACAUCAGACCUAAACCCGAAAUUUUGGGUUCACUUGGGUAUCGGGUCAAUAACUUAGGAGUUUUAUACUGUGUUUUUUCCCAUCUGUACGUCCCACCCCCUAUGUCCCUGGAAAAUACUAUAUUGUCCCUUUGGUUAUCUAUAAAAACCCUCAAAAAAAAAUUUCUUUCCUUUUUUUUCACCAAUUUUCUUCGAAACUUUGAAUUGGCCGCAUCACAAAUUUACAAACGUUUGAACCUUUGAAAUGCAAAGGUAAGAUAACCUUUGAAACUUUCGAAACAUUAUUUUUCCAAAUCUUCGAAAGUUUUCAUGAACAUGAAACUUUCAAAGUUCAAUUUUCCCGAAAUUUUGAAACUUUCGAAAGUUUCCAUGAACAUGAAACUUCCGAAACGUAGAAACCUACGAAACUUUAUAACAAUAUGAAAGUUUCAAAAUGUAAAGUUCAGAAACAUGAAGUAAUUAGUUUCGAAACUUUGGAAUUCAUGGAAAGUUCCGAUAAAGCACAUAUGUGUAUGGAUGCGAAAUAUGUUAGUUUAUUUAUUGAUUUAGAUCGUUGUCGAGACUAUUCGUGGGGUACCACGACAUUGGUUUUCCUUUAUGACAAUCUGGAAGAUGGAGGUAUCCACGACACUCGACAGUUUGGAGGUUAAAUGACUCUAUUAUAGUGUUUGAUUUACAAGCACUUCCCUAGCAUAUGUAAGCGGAGCAAUAGAGGUGCAAUUCCUGCACAUCUUCCAAGAGCAUGUAGGUGGACUGCAAAACAUGAUGUUGAAGGCGGAUUAAUGACAUAUUGUCAGACACUUGAUGCUUUGUUGUUCGAGGAUGUAGUGUUUACACUAUAUGAUGAUGAUCGAGCUAAUCAUCCGUUUGUAUUGAUUUCAAUGUUCUCUGGAUAUCUUCGAUGUGGUGGAGUCUUAGUCCCAUAUUUGUCGGAGUGAUGUCUUCGACAGUUUGGUCGUAUUAAGUGCAUUCCACGUGACGUUCCUCCGUUGCCGAACAAUAUAGAUUGGGAGUGGCAGACUACUAUGAGAUCAUCUUAGCGACCUUUCAGAGUAUAUAUCAUGUUGCGACUUUUCCUAGAGAGGUCAAAACUGACUACUAGGUAUGGUACAUAAGUGUUUCACAUCCUUUAAUCCUCCCUCCAUCUACUGCUGCACCUUCAAGUCCACCUACUGCUGUUGCACAUGGUCCAUCAUCUUCUGUACAUGUCGGUCCAUCAUCGACAUGAGACAGUAGAGCAGUUGAGCUUGUACGUAGGGCCAUAGAUUUGGCAGCUCCAUUUAAUAAAGUUCGUGACAUAUUAAUUGAGUUAAAUCGAUUGUACGAUGAUUAGUUAUUGUGUUAUGUAUGAUAAAUAUUGAACGUGGAUUUCUAUUUUAA